GAGUUCCAUUGUUGGGGCAGCAGAUGAAAAAGCAUCAGGGAUAUAUAAGGAGGAACUGGCCUGUCUAGAGUCAGAGUGAGGUCUGGGGGGCAGCUUUCUCCUAGACAGAAGUGUUGGCAGAUUCCAUUAUUCCUUGUUGAACCCUUCUACCAACCAAGUGGCAGGCCCAGACAGGUGACAAAUCUGAAUCUCUAUUAACCUGGCUUACACUAUUGGCCCCACUCUACUGAUUCCCUGACACCUUGCCCCCAAAACUUGCACACCCAUCCAAGUUG